UGCCAGCAGCCGCGGUAAGACGGAGGUGGCAAACGUUGCUCGGAAUCACUGGGCUUAAAGGGCGUGUAGGCUGCCGAUUAAGUCGGAUGUGAAAGACCUCGGCUCAACCGAGGAAUUGCAUCCGAUACUGGUCGGCUAGAGUGCGGUAGGGGUGAGUGGAACUCCAGGUGUAGCGGUGAAAUGCGUAGAUAUCUGGAGGAACGCCGGUGGCGAAAGCGACUCACUGGGCCGCAACUGACGCUGAGGCGCGAAAGCUAGGGUAGCGAACGGGAUUAGAUA
rnacentral:rRNA from 1 species